UCAGUGGCUUAGAGUAUUGCAGGAUGAAGCACUUUUAUCCACUUGGAAACAACAAUUGGAUCAAGAUUCUAAUACCCUCAAAAUGAAAGAAAAUUUGAAUACCAUGCAAACAGUAAGGCUUUCACCUUCACAUCUGAUGAUGUUCUUAUUGCUCACAUUUGUGACUCUCCUCAGAUGUUUAUUUUCUUCUCUUGCAUUCUUAUGGGUGUGUACAAUUAAUUAAGAUAGAAGAUCACAAAAGAACAUUUCUUUAGUUUUAACUGCCAAAUCCGAACAUACGUAAUUGUCGAUCAAGAGAUCUUAGAAUCGAUAAAUUUAGAUUAAUGUUAGAAAUUUUGAGAGUUCUUAGUUAAAAAAUAUUGAGGUGACAUGAAUAAUCUAAUCAAUAAUGAUAUGAUCCAUACAGCUGGCCCCAAGUUACAUUGGAUGUAGGUGUAAUUGUUAUGAAUUUCAAAUGAAGCAUAGUUAGAAAUGCCUAGGGGGAAAAGAAAAGGAAAUGAAAAAGGAUUUUAAAAGAAGUUUUGUAAGAAAAGAAAAGGAAAUGAAAAAGGAUUUUAGAAGAAGUUUUGUAAGAAUAUGGAUUAUCAUUUAUCUUGGGACAUUGUUUGUCUCACAACCGAUAUACAAAUUCACCUUUCACUUUAUUAGGUGCCUUCCUAUUUCACAUUGGUGUUAGGUCACUCUUCGAUUCCAGUUCCUAUUUCACAAUCUCGUCUAACCUUUACAUUUAUUCUGCAUAUGGAGGUUAAGUUGCAAUGCACAAUUCAAUCUUACUUUUGCUUAUCCUAUAACUUGCUCUCAAGGGCAACUUUUUCUUUUUUUUUGGAGAAUGCUAACAUUCUCAUAUAUCAAUAGCAAAAAAUGUAAUGCUGAAGAAACCCAAGCAAAUAUUACAAAAUCUAAAGAAAUAAAAACCUAACAGCUAAACUUGCAUUACCUUCCAGCAUUCUAACACUAGGAUUGGCGCUCUCUGAUAUUUUUUUUUAAAAAAUUUUGUGAACAAGAAUGCUUGAUUUCUGGUUAUACAGUAUUAGCCCAUAGAAAACUGAUGAGGUGAGGGCUAAUUGUAAGGGAGAACUCCGUUGUUGUCCAAAAUUAGGAGAAAUCAUCUUUCUGUUUGAUGAAUACAAAAGGGGAGAGAAUUAGUAUUGUGGUGAAUUAUGUGAUAGCACCUAUAUAACUAACUCGGAGAAAAUAUUCCUCUAGACUUAAUGUUACAAAUGACUAUAAGAACCAUUUAAGAAGUUCAAUAUAAGGCAUUGAAAAACCAAGAAAUGAAAUAUGCUAUAUCCUUGGUUUAGUGUUAACCUCUCUUUUAUUAUUUGAUGUAGUUAACAAAGCAAAUGACGAUUCAAGCUAAAGGGGUGGCUUCCAGUUUGGUUGAAACAAUACAAGGUUUAGGCUUCAAGUUACAAACAUUAAAUCUGAGCGCUACCAGGAUGAAGAAGAUAUCACUUAAGGAGUGGAUUUUGGAGUUCAG
rnacentral:lncRNA from 1 species